rnacentral:rRNA from 1 species
CGCGUAGGCGGGAAUGCAAGUCAGAUGUGAAAUCUGGGGGCUCAACCCCCAAACUGCAUUUGAAACUGUAUUUCUUGAGUGAUGGAGAGGCAAGUGGAAUUCCUAGUGUAGCGGUGAAAUGCGUAGAUAUUAGGAGGAACACCAGUGGCGAAGGCGACUUGCUGGACAUUAACUGACGCUGAGGCGCGAAAGCGUGGGGAGCAAACA